rnacentral:rRNA from 1 species
AUUGAACGCUGGCGGCAUGCCUUACACAUGCAAGUCGAACGGCAGCACGGGUGCUUGCACCUGGUGGCGAGUGGCGAACGGGUGAGUAAUACAUCGGAACAUGUCCUGUAGUGGGGGAUAGCCCGGCGAAAGCCGGAUUAAUACCGCAUACGAUCUACGGAUGAAAGCGGGGGACCUUCGGGCCUCGCGCUAUAGGGUUGGCCGAUGGCUGAUUAGCGAGUUGGUGGGGUAAAGGCCUACCAAGGCGACGAUCAGUAGCUGGUCUGAGAGGACGACCAGCCACACUGGGACUGAGACACGGCCCAGACUCCUACGGGAGGCAGCAGUGGGGAAUUUUGGACAAUGGGCGAAAGCCUGAUCCAGCAAUGCCGCGUGUGUGAAGAAGGCCUUCGGGUUGUAAAGCACUUUUGUCCGGAAAGAAAUCCUUGGCCCUAAUACGGUCGGGGGAUGACGGUACCGGAAGAAUAAGCACCGGCUAACUACGUG